UACUUUUUAUUCAGGCGGUUUAUCCUUGAUAUGUUCAUCUUAACCGAUGAUGGGUCUCCUCCUUAACAUCCCCAAGCAAGUAUAUCCUUGAUAUGUUCAUCUUAACAGAUGACAGAUUUUCUUUCCUCUGAGUCUAUCCUUGAUAUGUUCACUCUAACCAGUGACGGAUAUUCUCUCCUUUUGGUCUUUUGCCCAGUAUCCGGUAGUUGUAAAUCCUAUUUUCAGCUUUCCCCAGCAAGUUUAUUAUUACCCAGUAACCGAUAAUGAAU
rnacentral:lncRNA from 1 species